GACGAACGCUGGCGGCGUGCUUAACACAUGCAAGUCGAACGGAAAGGCCCUGCUUUUGUGGGGUGCUCGAGUGGCGAACGGGUGAGUAACACGUGAGUAACCUGCCCUUGACUUUGGGAUAACUUCAGGAAACUGGGGCUAAUACCGGAUAGGAGCUCCUGCUGCAUGGUGGGGGUUGGAAAGUUUCGGCGGUUGGGGAUGGACUCGCGGCUUAUCAGCUUGUUGGUGGGGUAGUGGCUUACCAAGGCUUUGACGGGUAGCCGGCCUGAGAGGGUGACCGGCCACAUUGGGACUGGGAUACGGCCCAGACUCCUACGGGAGGCAGCAGUGGGGAAUAUUGCACAAUGGGCGGAAGCCUGAUGCAGCAACGCCGCGUGCGGGAUGACGGCCUUCGGGUUGUAAACCGCUUUCGCCUGUGGCGAAGCGUGAGUGACGGUAAUGGGUAAAGAAACACCGGCUAACUACGUG
rnacentral:rRNA from 1 species